UACAGAGGGUGCGAGCGUUACUCGGAAUUACUGGGCGUAAAGCGUGCGUAGGUGGUGAGUUAAGUCUGAUGUGAAAUCCCCGGGCUCAACCUGGGAAUGGCAUUGGAUACUGGCUCGCUAGAGUGCGGUAGAGGGUGGUGGAAUUCCCGGUGUAGCAGUGAAAUGCGUAGAGAUCGGGAGGAACAUCUGUGGCGAAGGCGGCCACCUGGACCAACACUGACACUGAGGCACGAAAGCGUGGGGAGCAAACAGG
rnacentral:rRNA from 1 species